ensembl:lncRNA
GGUUAAACCAAUUUAAGCAAUACAAUAUUGAUGCUUGCCUUUGAGAUCAUUGCUAAUUAAUUAGACAUCAUCUAUUAUGCAAAAUGCAAUAAUAUGUAAGCAAUGAAAAUAUUAUGUAAAAGAGUAUGCAAAAUGAUCUGUCAUCUUUGCAGGUGUGCAGACGACAUCCACACUCAGACUGAUGAGAGAGCAGCUCCAUGUGCACAUCAGAGCUCAUCCGACACUGAGAUGAUGAUGAUGAUGAAUGAGCUGGAACCUUCUCAGAGUCUGGAGGCGGACAGAUCUGAGGAUGUUUCUGGCAACUUCACGUGAGACUCCUCAGUCAGAUGAGAUACUGGUGCCCUGGGAUCUGAAGUUUGAGUUCUUUGCAUAAGAUUUCAUCUUACAUCACCCAUGUAAGAGCAUCUCACAGCCCACACCGAGAUGACUGAUGCAGUUUUAGUGUGACAGGACUUUCAUCAUCGCUGUCUUCUGCUCCUCAAACUGAUAAGAGCUGGAGUCGACCGCAGUGCAGAUGUGUUUGUUUAUCUGUGAGCUGUUCGCUAGAGGAUGACCGUACAGACAGAUCGCUCGCUGAUCACACCCCAUGCGAUGUCCUCCCAGAGAGACUGCUGGCAUGCUUAAAUGCCACUGAUAAAAGUGUACAUGUUCUCUCACUAUGACAAUCAGUUCUGAGCAAUGCAAAGUCUGCUUUAAAGGAAAAGUUCCUCCCCCAAAAAUGAAAAUUUGCUGAAAAUGUUCUCAAGCCAUUCAGAUGAGUUUGGAGAAAUGUAGCAUUCCAUCACUUGCUCACUAAUGGAUCCUUUGAAGUGAAUGGGUGCCGUCAGAAUGAGAGUCCAAACAGCUGAUAAAAACAUCACAAUAAUCCACACCACUCCAGUACAUCAAUAUAAUGCCUUGUGAAGUGGAAAAGCUGUGUGUUUCUAAGAAACAAAUUCAUCAAGGAAUUUUCAUUUUAAACCGCUGCAAACUCGUCUACAUAUUGCACUGCACUGUUGUCCAUCUAUAGGGCAAAAUCAUCAAUUUGAAAAGGAAUCACACAAGUGGAGUGUUUCUUUUCCAAUUCCAUUGAUAUUGGAUAUGUACAGUAGUAGAUGUUUCCUCCAUCUUUAUUCCAAAAUGUGUUUCAUACAUUUGUUUGCUGUGUGCAUCUUACGUAUGACACUAUAUUGUGUGUUUUGGUGCAACUCCUUACAAUUAUAUUCUUAACUCAUAUUGUUGCUGUUGUGAAAAGCUUCUGUGUCACCAUUAAACUUCUUUGGAUUUGACUUGAAAAGCGGCAUUGUAAUAAAUAUAUAUUUUUGUCUCAGAUGUUCCUGCUGGAUUUUAUAGACAAAUGUUGAUAAUGAAUUUUAAAAGUCUUGUUUAGGCAUCAUUUAAUUAAAAGAUUACUCUUAAUCAGUCUCAAACUGAAUCUCUGAACUGAACUGAAUAUCAAUAAUGCAUGAUUAAUUAAGUAUGUUUUGAACAGGAUGCUAUUUUUAAUCUCUUGUCUGAUUAUCAUCUCAGCUACACUGAUGGUGUCCUGUUUUUUUUUUUUUUUUCAGUCACAACUUUCUAUUUCUCUAACCAGGAUGCUAUGAAAGCCGCCCACACAUCUAAAGAUUACAUGAAAUAUUCUCGUUUGUUUUAGGAGAUGAUGGAAACUUUUCUCUAAUGCCUGUUUAAUGAGGUAAUGGUCAUUCAUUAUGUAAUUGGUAAUUACGGUAUUACAUAAUACUAAUUAAAAUGCAGAGCAGACAAUAGAGUUGUUGCUAAAAAACACCCCUCCUUAAGGAUUAAGGAUAUAUCAAUUGUCUCUGUAAAGAUUAUUAUGAAGGCAUGCAUCAUUUAUUGAAGAACGUUAUUGCAUCAGAAAGCUAUGCUUCUUUGUUUAGCUUAAGAAAUGUGGUCACAGUUCUGGGUGUAUUAUUUGUCUGUCUAAACCCUUCUGAGAACGCUGCUGUAAAAGCCAAUUUCCAUUAAGGUUUCUGAAACAGAUGAGCACACCUGACCACAGCCCUGGAUCCAUUCAGGACAUUUAUCAUGGUUUUUCACGUCUAUGUGUAUGUUUCGGCCCACAGGCAAAAUUAUACUGAGAUAGAGUGACCCUUUCAAAAAAGAGGAGAGGGAGGAUCAAAAAGUUGGAUCAAAAGCCAGAUCCAACUUUAAUGAACAUUAAAUAUUGUCCUUAGGAAGAAAAUUGUUUCAUUAAAAAAUUUCUCUCAGGACCUGUGGUUUUUGAUUAGCAUGUUCUGAUUCUGAAUACAGCAGCACCAUCUGGUGGUAAAGCACUUUUCAAACAUAAGAAUGAUGCUAUUAUAAAACAUCUGUAAAAUCAGUCACAUCAUGCGCUUAAGUGAUAAAUGUGGAUCCACAGCUUAUUAGAAUACUUUUAACAUUUCAAUGCUUAAAAAAAUACCAUCCUGCCAUUACAUGAUUGAUUUCACACUGGCAAAUUAAUUUCUCUGCCAGCGUUGAUUAACUUUAUGUAAAAUCUUUUGAUACUUGGUUCGCUGUAUAUCGGGAGUCUGAUAAAAUGGCACACAGGCAACCUGGAUUUCUCACACUUUAUUAAAUUAAAAUAUUAUUAAAAAAUGCAAAUGAUGAUACAACUGCUGAUGUGAAACAACUGUUUAGGUUAGUUAACCUACAGAUGGACAAACGUUUUGAUUAUUUACAAUAGAAAAAUGGGUUUGAGAACUAUGAGGUCAUAUAAAACCGCAAAUAUGAAAACUGUAUUACAAAAAUGUCAGGGUUUGGAGAGUAAAUUAAUUGUACACUUACUUUCAAAAAAAAAAAAAAAAAGGAAAGGAAACCAAAUAGUACUUUUUCUGACCUAACCUUUCCACAGUUCAUCUUUAAAUACCUGAGUUCACUCAUAUAAUGAUAUUUAUGGCUGGAAAACUUAAGAGUAAAUAUAUUUAAAUAGAUUCAAAAAUCACAAUUCUUCAAA